rnacentral:piRNA from 1 species
UGCAAACGUGUGCCUGUGUGUGCGAUCAC